CCUACGGGUGGCUGCAGUGAGGAAUAUUGGUCAAUGGCCGGGAGCCUGAACCAGCCAAGUCGCGUGAAGGAUGACUGCGCUAAGCGUUGUAAACUUCUUUUGUCAAGGAACAAAAUCAGGCUCGUGUGCCUUUUCGUGGGUCCUUGAUGAAAAAGCAUCGGCUAACUCCGUGCCAGCAGCCGCGGUAAUACGGGGGAUGCGAGGGUUAUCCGGAGUUAUUGGGUUUAAAGGGGGCGUAGGUGGGCUGUUAAGUCAGCGGUAAAAGCGUGGGGCUCAACCCCGACGAGCCGUUGAAACUGGCUGUCUUGAGAAGGCGAGAGGUAUGCGGAAUGCGUGGUGUAGCGGUGAAAUGCUUAGAUAUUACGCAGAACUCCGAUUGCGAAGGCAGCAUACCGGCGUCGAACUGACGCUGAGGCACGAAAGCGUGGGUAUCGAACAGGAUUAGAUACCCUUGUAGUC
rnacentral:rRNA from 1 species